rnacentral:lncRNA from 1 species
AGCUAGUGCCAAAAUACCGCAAGCAUUCAAGCACCAGUGACCUUAAAUCGAGGUCAUUAUUACCAUCUCCUACCGUUUUUCUGACAGUUGGCUGCUGUUCUCUGAAUGUCAGAAUCCUCUAAAUUCUACUGCAUCAUUCAACUUGUGGACCAAGGUUGAUUAGGGGUGCUCCAGGUCCACUGAUCAUUGCAUCAGUUCAACUAGGAAGUCUGAAGAAUGCCUUCAUUCACUAAUGGGAAAAGCAUGAUGAUUUCAAGCUGACCUACAGAACUUUGUGCAUCACCUACAACAUUGGCAAGGGUGGCUGAGAAGAAAGCUCUCCAAUACUUGAAAUUAUUUUCAAGUCACUUGCAAAUAAUCUGCUUACUGGGAGGAAGGAAACAGCAGAACGCUUCUGAGAGGUCUGGUGUGUUCCAAUCACCUAUAGAGAGAAACCACAGGACUAAAAAUAAAUGAAUAAAUAAAAAUGCCCAGGAGUUACAGCAAGUAUGCAUCUUUUUGUUAAAUUUUCUUUCAUGAUGACACAAAACAAGGACUAAAAAUGUUUGCAAGAAACCACAAGGUGAUCUAAUCAGAACUUAGCUAAAAUUACAAAUCUGACAAUGAAUAAAAUUCCCUACUUAAUAAAUAAUUCUAGAAAUAAGCUGAUAAUAAUCGCCAAAGCUCAGUAGUCAUUCAAAAUGGGCAACAGUAAUAAUUCAUAUACCUAGGCCUAUCUUUAAGUUCCAUUAUUCAAGAAGGAAACUAGUAUUCUCACUUUAUUUUUUUCUGAAUGAAUCUAGAAAAUACUUUAUAGAUAAGAAUAUGUCCACUCUUGCAAAAGAUACCAGUGGCAAGCUUCAGUGUGAAAGAGACAAGUAUCCAUGUGUCAGAUGACAGAGUUGCCACUGAUUUAUUAGCAAAUUGAACUUUUGCUUUAAGAGAAAAAAACUUCUCAAAAUCUGUAUCUGAUAAAUUAACCCAGUCCUUCAUGAACACCAUUUCAAAAAGACACUGCCAACCUUAAGUUUGAAUGAUUCAUUGUACUGUAAAUAUUUGAGGUGAAUAUGUCUGGUAGCAAGUGUCUGAAACAAGAACCCUCUUGCAACACAACCGAAAAAUCAACGGACAAUGUAUGAGACAGUUAGGGUGCAGUAAUGAAGCUGACCUCAGACUAUUUCCAUCAAUACAAACACUGACAGCAAGUUUGUUCACCAAGUUUUCAGGGCCAACAACUUACAAUUCAAACCUGGGAUCAAUUUAUGGACUCUGCUAUUGUUAAUGACCACGCAGGGAGAGUAAUACCAGAAAACUGACAGCAUCCUCAGGACUAACAGAUCAUCUCCCAGAAUGUGAAAAUGAGAUAAGUCAAUUCCGCCACCUUGUCUGCACCUUGAGAAUUAAACAGCAACUACCAACUGAUAUCAGAAAUUACUCUCAUUGGAGGUUGAACACCUGAUUCUCCUUUGCCACAUCAAGCAGAGACUGUCAGAUAAGAGAAUGACAGGAAAAUUCAUUCCAUCCACAUUUCCUGCACUAUGGAAAACUGCACGGAUACAGAGCAAACCAUCAAAGAAGUAUAAGUCAAUAAGUACAUAAAUAUAUAAAUAAGAAAACUAAAAUACAGUAAGAAAGGAAACUACAGAAUAGGGGUCAGCAAACUAAGGCCUGUGAUCCAAAUCCAGCUCACCAUGUGCUUUUGUAGAGCCUGGAAGCUAGGAAUAGUAUUUGUCAAUGGUUGAAAAAAUUCUUAAGAAUAUAUCACAACACCCGAAAAACACAUAAAAUUCAAAUUGCAG